GGGAAAAACACAGUUUUGGCAAUAAUAGCGUGUGCAUAAUAUGUCCAGUUUAGGAAAAGUAAUUCAAAAUCAAUUUACAAAGUACAUAAUGUGUGUAGGAUUUCAGUUUAUUUUGAAAGUUACAGGUCACAAACUACAAGGUCUAAAAUAAAAUUUCAAUGUGAAAUAAUUUUAGAAGUUGGUAUGUUUGUCUUGGAAGUGUAAUACCCAUUACAGAAAACAAAAUUGGCACACACAAGUAUACACACUGCUCAAAAAAAUUAAGGGAACACAAAAAUAACACAUCCUUGUAGCGGAGAUACAAUAUUCCCCAGGUAUCUCCGCUUAUAAUCCAAGUGAGGCUCAGGAACAAGUAAAUUGUUAAUCCACAGGCAAGGCUUCCAGCAGGCAAAAUAACACAGCAGUAUCCCAACAGCAAUCCCAGUAACUGGACGACACACAGUUUCAGGAGCAGAAAUGACAACCUUUAUUUCACAGUGCCUUAUGUAGCAUGCUCCCAUGCAAGGGAGGGAUUUCCAUUCAUUAAUACAAUAGCCAAUGCUGUCCCGGUAACCUCCCACACAUCUCCUCCUCUCAGCCGGCAUCAUAAUCCCCUUAUCCAGUACAGCAAUUCCCCCCAUUUCUGGAUGUACCCCUAAACCUAGGGGUACCCCUUUAAAUUAUACAUCCCCUGGUAGCCCUGAUCUGGGUGAACAACGUAUCCAAAAAUCACCCAGAUCGGACCAGGGGUUCUGGAAUUUCCUGGAGGGAAUAAAAUGACCCACCGUGCUGGAUGAACUAGCCGAAUUGGGCUCCAUGCGAUGGGGCCCUGCGGUCGGUCCUGGGAAAGGCGAAUGCAGUACCUAAAAGCCUCCAGCUAUAUAGGCUUGGGAGGGUUCGCCUGAAUCCCCUCGUUCGGUUGGUAGUUUGGAACCGAACGGACCGGGCUGAUGGAGGUCUCAGCGGUGUUCGCCUAAUCGAGUGUCCGUUUUUAGUUCCAGACACUCGACGGCAAAACACCGCUGUUCGGGAGGUUAAGAUGGCCGCCGCCACGUGUUCGUUUCUCAAAUGGCGGCCACCCCUGGGAACAAAGGAUUGCUACACAGCUUGUCAAUUACCCGUUCGCAACAAUGUUGCAACGGGUAAUUGAAGGCACACUUCACACAGGGAGGUCUGAC